AGGAGGAACAACCGCAGUGGCGGGGCCAGCUCUGCAGCCCUGGAGUCAGCUCCCGCAGUAGCUCCAGAGCUCUCGGUCUGCAGGGCCUGAAGGCUCCGGGGCGGG
rnacentral:pre_miRNA from 1 species